AGUGAACGCUGGCGGCGUGCUUAACACAUGCAAGUCGAACGAGAACGGAUUAUAGCUUGCUAUAAUUGUCAGCUAAGUGGCGCACGGGUGAGUAAUGUAUAGGUAAUAUGCCUCUUACUACACGAUAACAAAUGGAAACGUUUGCUAAUACCUUAUACUCCUUAUUAACAGAAGUUAAUAAGGGAAAGAUUUAUUGGUAAGAGAUUAGCCUGUAUUGUAUCAGUUAGUUGGUGGGGUAAUGGCCUACCAAGACUAUGACACAUAACUGGUUUGAGAGGAUGCACGCGCACACGUGAAGUUAGACACGGUCCAGACUCCUACGGGAGGACGCAGUAGGUGCUUGUGCACACAGGACGAAAGUCUUGUGUAGCAACGCCGCGGGGAGGAUGAACACUGUCGGUGCGGUUAUUCCUUUUAUAUGGUACCAUAAUGACUGGCUUAUAUGAAUAAGCACCGGCUAAAUACGUGCCAGCCGCCGCCGUAAGAC
rnacentral:rRNA from 1 species